rnacentral:rRNA from 1 species
CAGUAGCCGCGGGAAUACGGAGGGGGCUAGCGUUGUUCGGAAUUACUGGGCGUAAAGCGCACGUAGGCGGCUUGGUAAGUUAGAGGUGAAAGCCUGGAGCUCAACUCCAGAAUUGCCUUUAAGACUGCCGAGCUAGCAGGUGAGAGAGGUAAGUGGAAUUCCCGGUGUAGCAGUGAAAUGCGUAGAGAUCGGGAGGAACAUCCAUGGCGAAGGCAGCUACCUGGACCAACACUGACACUGGGGCACGAAAGCGUGGGGAGCAAACAGGAUUAGAUACCCGUGUAGUCCCUGUCUCUUAUAC